ACAGUGGACGCGAGCAUCUGUGGCCAAGUUUUUAAGGGCGCACGGUGGAUGCCUUGGCACCAGGAACCGAUGAAGGACGUGGGAGGCCGCGAUAGGCCCCGGGGAGCUGUCAACCGAGCUGUGAUCCGGGGGUGUCCGAAUGGGGAAACCCGGCAGUCGUCAUGGGCUGUCACCCAUACCUGAACACAUAGGGUAUGUGGAGGGAACGCGGGGAAGUGAAACAUCUCAGUACCCGCAGGAAGAGAAAACAACCGUGAUUCCGGGAGUAGUGGCGAGCGAAACUGGAUGAGGCUAAACCGUAUGUGUGUGAUACCCGGCAGGGGUUGCGCAUGCGGGGUUGUGGGAGUG
rnacentral:rRNA from 1 species